rnacentral:lncRNA from 1 species
AGGAGCGCUAAGUGAACAAGGAUGCUACAUGCAGGAUCCACUUGUGUCCAUUGAUCUCUCAGAGUGGCUGAGGAUCAUAGGUUUCUUCUUGAAGGGCUCAAGGAAUGAAGCAUCCCACAAAAUGAUCCUGCUGAAUAAUUGCCAGAUGCUGCUGGCCCUGUACGAAUCCCUGGCCGUGAGCAUUCCUGAGUCCCUGAAGGUCUUCAAGAAAGUUUAGGUGAGGGGAUAAGAGCAGCUGCAUUUUCAAAGUCAGUGAAGGUAGAGCAUUCAAGAGCAUUCCUCUGUAUUAUGGAAGAUAUCCUGAAGCUCAAUGCCUGCAAUAAAAGCAAGCUUGGAAGUAGGGAUGAGAUAGGCCACCCAGAUGAUGAAUUUGAGAGGUACAAAAACAGGUGCUUAUCAUUUAUAAUUGCUAUUCCUUGUACUUUUUUGUAAUUCACAUUAAUCAGUUUUGGAAUAAAGAGAGGAUGAAUUCCUUUCUUGUGAUGAAUAAAGGUUGUCAAUGGUCAAAAU